GAUAAAAUUGAUAUAAUAAUUAACUAAAUAAAUGUAAGAACCUGAUAUGUUUUAUGUCAAUUGCAGGUAAUUGAGCCAGGUCACACCUAAUUGGGCUUAACCAUAUUUUAAAGGUCAAAUUAAGUGAAAUUGGUUGAGUCCGAUUCAGCAGGAUUUGUCAUCCAGAGUUAUCAGGUCUUGCAUCAAAAUCAGAGUCUACCUCAAAGCAGAAUAACCAAAUCAAGAUAUCAAUGGACCCCACACCUUAUCCUUUUUGGCAUCAUCAGCCAGAAAAGAAAUUAGAGAUGCAGAAAAUAAAUCAAGCAGUUAAUCUCUCCCAUCUAGUCAACCAAUCUAAAUUCUGGAUAUUUUGGUGUGAGGAUCCCUAAAAGGCAAGCUACA
rnacentral:lncRNA from 1 species